rnacentral:rRNA from 1 species
UACGAAGGGGGCUAGCGUUGCUCGGAAUUACUGGGCGUAAAGCGCACGUAGGCGGCUCUUUAAGUCGGAGGUGAAAUCCUGGAGCUCAACUCCAGAACUGCCCUCGAUACUGAAGAGCUCGAGUCCGGGAGAGGUGAGUGGAACUGCGAGUGUAGAGGUGAAAUUCGUAGAUAUUCGCAAGAACACCAGUGGCGAAGGCGGCUCACUGGCCCGAUACUGACGCUGAGGCACGAAAGCGUGGGGAGCAAACAGG